rnacentral:rRNA from 1 species
UGGGGAAUAUUGGACAAUGGGCGCAAGCCUGAUCCAGCCAUGCCGCGUGAGUGACGAAGGCCUUAGGGUUGUAAAGCUCUUUUGGCGGGGACGAUAAUGACGGUACCCGCAGAAUAAGCCCCGGCUAACUUCGUGCCAGCAGCCGCGGUAAUACGAAGGGGGCUAGCGUUGUUCGGAAUUACUGGGCGUAAAGCGCACGUAGGCGGAUGUGCCAGUCAGGGGUGAAAUCCCGAGGCUCAACCUCGGAACUGCCUCCGAUACAGCACGUCUCGAGUCCGGAAGAGGUGAGUGGAAUUCCUAGUGUAGAGGUGAAAUUCGUAGAUAUUAGGAAGAACACCAGUGGCGAAGGCGGCUCACUGGCCCGGUACUGACGCUGAGGUGCGAAAGCGUGGGGAGCAAACAGGAUUAGAUACCCGAGUAGUCCCUGAGCGGGC